rnacentral:rRNA from 1 species
AACGAACGCUGGCGGCAGGCUUAACACAUGCAAGUCGAGCGCCCCGCAAGGGGCGCGGCAGACGGGUGAGUAACGCGUGGGAAUCCACCCAUCUCUACGGAAUAACGCAUGUAAACGUGUGCUAAGACCGUAUACGUCCUUCGGGAGAAAGAUUUAUCGGAGAUGGAUGAGCCCGCGUUGGAUUAGCAAGUUGGUGGGGUAAAGGCCUACCAAGGCGCCUAUCCAUAGCUGGUCUGAGAGGAUGAUCAGCCACACUGGGACGGAGACACGGCCCAGGCUCCUACGGGAGGCAGCAGUGGGGAAUAUUGGACAAUGGGCGCAAGCCUGAUCCAGCCAUGCCGCGUGAGUGAUGAAGGCCCUAGGGUUGUAAAGCUCUUUCACCGGUGAAGAUAAUGACGGUAACCGGAGAAGAAGCCCCGGCUAACUUCGUGCCAGCCGCCGCCGUAAUAC